UUUUAGGAAUGCUGACUUUGCAAAAAUGGGGAGAUGUUUAAGUGAUUCAUUGGCGGACUGGAGGAACUUGGAAGGAGUGCAGGAGAGGUGGGAAAACCUGAAAAGUGCAGUACUAAGGGUAACAGACCUUUGUUUUAAAAGGGUGAGGAAAAGCACCAGGAAAAGGAAGACAGUGUGGUUCACAAAAGAAGUAUCAACUAGUGUGAAAGCAAAAAAGUUGGCUUUUAGGAAAUACAAACAGACUCAAAAUAAUAAUAACAAAAGGUGUAUUUUGACAGACGGCAGGAUGCUAAUAAAGUGAUCAGACGUGCAAAGGCAGAUGCUGAGGAGAAAAUGGCCCAGUCAGUAGAUAAAGGGGGCAAAACUUUUUUUAAGUAUAUAAAUGAAAGGAGAAAAUCAAAUGGAGGAAUAAUAAGACUUAAGACAUAGAGUGAGAAUUUGGUGGAGGGAGACAAGGCAAUAGCAGAUCACCUAAAUCAUUAUUUUUGCUCUGCAUUUACUACAGUAGAAGGGAAGGGGCCACAGUUAAGCUGCAAGGAUAUUCAUAAAAAUAAGGUAGAUGAAACUACAUUUACAGAAGAGAAGGUCCUAACAGAACUUUCAAAACUAAAAGUGGAAAAAUCAAUGGGGCCAGAUUGGAUACACCCAAGGAUACUAAAAGAGCUAAAAGAUGUGCUGGUAGCACCAUUAACAGAAUUAUUUAACCAGUCACUAAAUACAGGUGCCAUUCCAGAGGACUGGAAAAGAGCGAAUGUAGUUCCACUGUACAAAAGUGGAAGCAAGGAAGAAGCAAGUAACUACAGACCAGUAAGCCUUACAUCAGUAGUAGGGAAAGUAAUAGAAAAACUAUUAAAAGAAGGAGUUGUGGAAUAUCUUAAAUAAAACAACUUACAGGAUCCAAAACAACAUGGUUUUACUGGUGGGAGAUCAUGCCAAACAAAUCUUAUUUAACUUUUUUUUUGACUCUGUGAUGAAUAUAAUAGCUCAAGGGGGAGCUGUAGGAGCUGUAGAUGUAGCAUAUCUAGACUUUAGUAAGGCAUUUGAUACUGGCCCACAUCGCAGACUGCUAAAUAAACUUGAAAGCAUGGGGGUGGAUUAUAAAACAGUUAAAUGGAUAAGAACCUGGUUGCAGGAUAGGAAACAGUUGUAGUAAAUGGAGUGCAAUCUUUGGAAGGAAAUGUUACCAUGGAGUACCCCAGGGAUCUGUACUUGGACCAGUUCUCUUUAAUAUCUUUGUUGGUGACAUUGCAAAUGGUAUUAAAGGGAAAGUAUGCCUUUUUGCAGAUGAUACAAAGAUUUGCAGCAGGGUAGACACACCAGGAGGGGUAAAACAAAUGAUUGAUGACCUAGCUAGGCUUGAGAAAUGGUCAAGAACGUGGCAACUACAGUUUAAUGCUAAAAAAUGCAAAAUAAUGCACUUGGGUCUAAAAAACCCAAAGGCUAAAUAUAGUAUUAAGGGUACUAUAAUGGAAACUACCGAGGAGGAAAGGGAUUUAGGAGUCCCUAUUUCAAGUGACUUAAAGGCAGGAAAGCAAUGCAACAAAGCAAUGAGAAAGGCAAGUCAGAUGCUUGGUUGCAUAGCCAGAGGAAUCAGUAGAAGGAAAAAAGAAGUAAUGAUGUCACUGUAUAGGUCAUUGGUACGGCCUCAUCUUGAAUACUGUGUCCAGUUCUGGAGACCAUAUUUCCAGAAGGAUAUAAAUACAUUAGAGAGUGUACAAAGAAGGGCAACUAAAAUGGUGCAUGGCCUACAUCACAAAACUUACCCGGAAAGGCUAAAAGAUCUUAACAUGUAUAGUUUGGAGGAGAGAAGGGAAAGGGGGGACAUGAUAGAAACUUUCAAAUAUAUAAGGGUUUUAACAAAGUUCAGGAAGGAAACAUUCUUCAAAGGAAGAGGAGUAUUAGAACUCGAGGGCAUACACUGAAACUGGAGGGAGGCAGGUUCAGGGGAAAUUUAAGGAAAACUUCACAGAAAGGGUAGUGGACAAGUGGAAUAGCCUCCCAUCAGAGGUGGUAGAGGCUAAGACUGUAGAGCAAUUUAAACAUGCUUGGGAUAGCCAUAUGAAUAUCCUUACAAAGAAUUAAGGUUCAAAAAGAGUUGAGAUUACCUAAAGGAUAAAAAAGGGGCAGACUAGAUGGGCCAAGUUGUUCUUAUCUGCCGUCAAAUUCUAUGUUUCUAUGUUUAAAACAAGUACCAGGGCAAUAGGUUGCUUGAACUGAAACUGGGCAAAGACAAGUACAUUGAGUUUCCAGAGAAUUUGGUCUUUGGCCUGUGUUGAGAUACUCCCCAAGUUUUUGCGGUUCACGACAAACUUAAAAUUGAACUGAAGACACCUCUAAUAAAUGCUUCCAUUCUCGGAAGGUGGCCUUCAUUGCCAAAAGUUGUUUAUCCUAAUAUCAUGAGAGAGAGAACCACAAGGAUGGAGUAUUUUAUCCCCAUCUUUGUUACAUGAUGGCUAUGAGGACCGUGUAUGAAGCAGCAGUUUCUAAAUCGUAGCACCAUAACAACUUGGACAAAAAGAAGAGAGAAACAUCACCAGAAGUAAAUUAAAGUCAGUUGGAGACAAUAUACACGUGUUUACACACUUCUGACGAAGGACGAUGAUGUCUGAAACGCGUUAAGCGUACUGCUCUCCCAUUUAUCACCAUCCCAUCUCAGCGCUACUUCUUUGGACAUCCUGCUGUUUCCUUGUUCCGGAGCUUGGUACAGCCAACCCAUAUUCCAUCUGGGACAAAAAAGGAUCUUCCAAAUCUGCUGCUGCUAUUGCCUGAGAGGGAAUUCUUUGACAUGCGCUUUUAUCUUCUAUGUUUGUGUGUCUUUGUCAUUAAACCUGUGUGCUUUUAAAAACGAUAA